UUUCUAGAGGAUGGAUCUCUUGAUGAUAACGUCGAGUCUUUUUUAUCACAUGAUGAUACCGAUUUAAGGGAUACUGUCGGUCGUUGUAUGGAUGUGAGCAAAGGUUUUACUUUUACGGAGGUCAAUUCUGUUCGGGCU